GAGGGUGAUCGGCCACAUUGGAACUGAGACACGGUCCAAACUCCUACGGGAGGCAGCAGUGGGGAAUAUUGCACAAUGGGCGAAAGCCUGAUGCAGCAACGCCGCGUGAGUGAUGAAGGCCUUCGGGUCGUAAAACUCUGUCCUCAAGGAAGAUAAUGACGGUACUUGAGGAGGAAGCCCCGGCUAACUACGUGCCAGCAG
rnacentral:rRNA from 1 species